GUCAACUUACAUAGGCAGCAUACUCUGCAAUACUCUGUCUUCUAUCAUUUGUAGUGUAUUUUAUUGUUUUUCUAACUGUAUGUGUACUGUGAGGCAGAGACGUCACCUGACCUCACUUAGCGCACCCACCCAAAUUAAAAAGGAAACACAAGUUUCCCCUGUCCCAAGGUGGAACAUAAAAACAGAGCUCUCCCAUUGCUCGCGUUUCCACCGGGAUACGUUAAGUUGCCGGACCAGGAAGUGCAGCGGUGCGAGCGCCAUGCAGUAGUUCUGACCAAACUCCCCUUGGUACGUUGCCAUAGGACAGCGGAUACAGCGAUGGGUGCUGGUGUUGUAGUAAUGUCCUGGAGAGCAGUGGACUUCAAGAGACAAGCACAGGGGCCGUUGGGCUGCCAUUAUUUACCUCCACACUCUGACAUAUUUCGAGCUCCGACUGUCUUGGAAAGUUCUCGUCCUUCAGCCCCAGGACAGACCUCACAGGACAUCUGUCCCUCCUCAUCUUGAUAUGUCCCAGCUGGACACGUCACGCACCUUCCCUGGUCUGCAUCAUACAUCCUUCACACGUUCUGCAGUGAUGAGCCUCGUGGGAGGAGAAAGGAAUGAUGUCAUUUCCAGCCAAUAACAAUCAACCUGCACCACAGCCAUCCUCCCUCUCUCUUAGUUGCACAGCAACACCACAGCUUCCCCCCUUGAGAGCUGCUUCCUCCUCCCCCCAGACUAAGGCGUUUGGUAAACCAUUUGCCGUUGUAAUGGAUUCAAUCAGUGGAGCACACUUUAAAAUAUUAUCGUGUCCUGAGGCACAGACACACACUGUAACAAACAAGAACUGCGUGAUGUAAAAUGGUGUGAAUCAGCAGGUCUAUUAGGUUAUCAACACUCACAGUGUAACAACCAAUGUAUGUAGACUACCGUUUUGACAACCAAUUAAUCAUUUCCUAAAAAUUUGUGUGGCAAAUAAAUCUCUACUAACAGGCCUCGAGGGAGGACCAGAGAUGUCACAUUUCAUUUGCUAAAAUGAUUUUUUUUGGUACAGUCAAACUGACUUACCUGUACAUGUCAAUGUACUGAGUUCGAUACAAAUGUUCUAAUAGACAUUAGACAAAAGCAAAGCAAAGGAAAAGGCCAUGACUAACUUCCUGGUGUUUUGAUUGAUGGAGGAAGCCGUUAUAAGACCAAAUCACCCCCUGCUUUGACCAAGGCUUCAAAACAGUCUAACACUGUUUUUCAACCUUAGGAUCGGGUCGCCUGAAAUGUCUAGUAAUUGAUUUUUAAAAAAUGAUCAAAAUAUUUUUUCAUAGAAUCAUCAUUCUAUUUAAAAUUAUGAUUAAAAAACACACACAAUCUUAAACAACUGCAUUCUUCCACUUUCACUGUGUAUUUGCAACACAAAAUAACAAAAAUGAUCAAAAAUUAAUUCUAGAAAAAAAAAAGUCCUGAGUGUCGCCUGAAAUUUGGGACGUCAAAAUGGGUCAUAAGCCAAAAUAAGUUGGGAGCCUCUGUGGCCUAGAAACUAACAGAAACUGACACGAGGUUUUGUAACUUCCUAGAUAGAAAUUCUGAAAGAAAUGUUAAAUAUUUGUUUUUAAAUAUAUAUAUCCAUCAUACAGGACAGUUUAAUGAUGCCAAACAGAAAAAUCUUUAUAACGUUAUAACAGACUAGCUAGAAAUGACUGAAUGGCAUUGCUAUUAAUAACUGCUUGCUUUUCAAGUGAUUGUACUGCAUUGGAAACUAAAUGUCAAAUAAAAAUAAAAGUGAUGCAGAAUGU